rnacentral:tRNA from 1 species
AACCAACCUCCCUAAGAC